UACGUAGGUGGCAAGCGUUGUCCGGAUUUACUGGGCGUAAAGGGCGUGCAGGCGGUCUGUUAAGUGCAGGGUGAAAGCUCCCGGCUCAACUGGGAGAGGUCCUUGCAUACUGGCGGACUUGAGGGGGGUAGAGGAAAGUGGAAUUCCCGGUGUAGUGGUGAUAUGCGUAGAUAUCGGGAGGAACACCUGUGACGAAGGCGGCUUUCUGGGCCCUACCUGACGCUGAGACGCGAAAGCGUGGGGAGCGAACCGG
rnacentral:rRNA from 1 species